rnacentral:lncRNA from 1 species
CUUUAUUAACAUCAUCACCAUAACAGAAAUGCAUCACAUACAGAGAAUCCUUAUUUCACUGACUAAAUUACUUAACUAACCUAUAAACAACUAAAUGGCAACUAAUUUAUUUUGUGUAGCAGGGCAGCAUAAUAAUAGCAAAUACAAUUUGGCUCACGGCAUAACAGAAAAUUGACAGAGCUCAUAAACAUAAUACAUUUUACUCACAUUUCAAUUGGAUUUCAUUUUCAAAUUACAAAACCCACUAACGGCAAGGUGUGAAUUUCAUUUCAGCAUUUUUAUUAUUACCCUUCCUCUAUUCACAGAAUAUUUCCAAAAAAAACCCCACGGCAGUGAAAAUCAUCACAACUUCAACCUGCAAAUUCAUAUCCUGCCAAACCAAUAAACAAAAGCAUGACAGAAAAUUCAUUAACCAAUUCAAUUUCUAAUUUCAAUAUAUAAUUUCCAACAGAAACACAAUUAGCUCCAAUCAAAUUUAUAACUAACUUUUCACCGGUUACGUCUAACAGAAACUAACAAACUCACAUAAUAACUAUACUAACCAAUCAAUAACAGAAAUCAAAAACUAACUCUAACCAAGUAACCAAAACCAGUUCAAAGAAUUCACUUAAUAGACCCUAACCAACUUUCUCUUAGAAAUCUAACAGAAAUUCCGGGCACCUGCCCUAAUGAAACUAACCUGCCCUAAUCAGUUGCAGAUUCAUCACUAUAUAUUCAUAACCUUCUCCAAUCAUUGGGGUUUUUCAAUCACCAAUAUCCAAUUUUCACACAGCUCGCACUGCAGAACCGCAUCCUCACCUUCCUCCCUCACCAGAGCUCUUCCAACAAGAUGCCAUUGAAGCUCCUCGUUGAAGCUUCAAUUGGCGGAGCUUAAACCACACGCAACCCCCUCUCUUUGCAUUCACGCGGCAUAGCUGCGACGACACGCGCCAAAAUCGCAACGCGAUAGCUGCGACGAUCAAGAACGCAGAAAAGUCACCAAGCAGAAGAAGAAGAAGAAGAAGAAUUAGCACUCAAUCAGCAAAGAACAAGAAGAGGGAGAAGAAUUCGAUGACAGAAGGUUGAAGAAGAAGAAGGUCCGUACCUGUUUGAAGCGUCGAAUCAGGUAAGUUCUCUGAAUUUUGAUUUCUUUCUGUACACACAUAGUGAGGGUUAGAAUUGAGUGUCGAACGCAAUCCACGUUGAUUAUUGAGGGAUCUCCAUGAUGUUAAUCCAAAUUUGGUUUGAGGUUAGUGAGAGGAGAUUUUGUGUUAACCGAAUUCUGUUAGAUUAGUUGUGAGUUAGUUAUUUCUGUUGGGAUUUGUGCAGUUAAAUCAACUUUCAGUUAAAGCUUGAGUUCGACGUGUUCUGCUGCUGCUGUUAUCAUGACAGUAAACUAAUAAACCAAAGCUGGAAAAUGGUUGUGGACUUAGAUUAUUAGAUGAAGUUAGCAAUUAUUAGGUGACAUUCUAAUGUGUCAGUAUGUAUUUCUUGUUUUCUAUGUGGAUUUUCA